rnacentral:rRNA from 1 species
GUAGUCUCGCACAGAUGCAUAUCAAUAAGCGGAGGAAAAGAAACUAACAAGGAUUCCCUUAGUAACGGCGAGUGAAGCGGGAAGAGCUCAAAUUUGAAAUCUUCAAGGUUUUACCUUGACGAAUUGUAGUUUAAAGAAGUGUUUUCUGUUGAAGUUUUGGUAAAAGUUCUUUGGAAUAGGACAUCAUAGAGGGUGAGAAUCCCGUAUUUGACCAUUAUUUUCAGCUGUGUGAUACACUUUCAAAGAGUCGGAUUGUUUGGGAAUGCAGUCCAAAAUGGGUGGUAAAUUUCAUCUAAAGCUAAAUAUUGGCGAGAGACCGAUAGCGAACAAGUACCGUGAGGGAAAGAUGAAAAGAACUUUGAAAAGAGAGUUAAACAGUACGUGAAAUUGUCAAAAGGGAAGCGUUUGACACCAGUGUUGUUUUCUCGAAAAUCAAUUAAAAAGAGUUAGAUUUUGUUGUGUAUUGACCUUAACAGCUUGCAUUUCAAUUUUCUUGCUUUUUUUAAUGCACUCUUCGUUUAACAAGUCAACAUCAGUUUCUUUUGUUGUAAAAAGGUCAUUGGAAGGUGGCUUUCUUUUCGGAGAAAGUGUUUAUAGCCUUUGACUCCUGCAAUCGGAGAGACUGAGGUCUGCAGCGUAGAUCCUUCGGGGUUAGAUACAUUUGUGCUAAGUUAUAGCUUUUUAUAGACAACUUGUUGACUAUGAUUAGUCUUGUAGCUUACUCGCUUAUGCUAUUUUACCUACGCUUAGGAUGUUGAGCGCAUGUCUCUCUCU